CCCGGAGCUGGAGCCAGCCAAUAGGAGGCUCCGAGCCCCGCCCCUGUCUUUGAAAUGCAAGCUCCACUCACCAUGCCUACAGCAAGGACGCAGGUUUGAGAGACGGUGUGUUAAGAUUGUCUGAACUAAGUUUGUGACUGAUACCCCAUUAAAGCCUCUAUAAAUUUAAGAUUCUGGCAGGAGGGUGUGAAGAUGUGCUCACCUUACGGCCACCUAAAACAAGCCUUAUGAAGAGGCAGAGGAUUUAGAAUCUCAUUAAGGGUAUUGGAGCUAAUAAGUGGCAGAGCUUAAAUUGGAAUCCAGGGAAUUUCACAAAAUGAGCUUGGCUUUCUUAACUGCUAAGUUGUAUUCUAUGGAUUCUUAAUUUCCCAUUGCACCAUCCUGUGUGAAGAACAUCGGACCAUGCCUGGUUUGUGAGAAAACGAAUAUACCCAUGGACGGUGGCCAGACCAUAUCUAAAAAAAUGGAAUUUCGACCUAUGAUCUGCACUAACCAGCCAGGAAGCCAGCCUGCUAUGCAUAAGUCAUACUUGUAGGGAGUCAGACCAUAAUCUCUAGCAACUGGUCCAGAAAGUGAAACAACUUCUAUACAGUCAGCCCCAAACAGCCGGGACUUGAUUAAUUACUGACAGAGCCCUUAAUUUCUGCCCCAGAUUAGAAUUUACGACUAAAAGGAGAAAGCCAAAUAAUCACAUAGGAUUCCUUCUUUCUCAGUUGGCCUGCCCACUGCUUCCCCGUGCUAACAGGCUGCAGUCUGGGCACACCUGAGGCGUUCCCCUGUUUUCUCCCAUAAAGCUUUCCAUCCCAUACAUCUGCUGACCUCCAAGUCUCUGCCAAACCCCUGGGGUGGUGCCUGCCUCUGGCAGUGGCCUGCUCAGAGAAAAAUAAAAAGGCUUUUUCUUGUUCUCAUUU